CUCUGGUACCUAGAGAUCCCUCAGACCAUCUAGACUGAGUGAAAAAUCUCUAGCAGUGGCGCCCGAACAGGGACUUGAAAACGAAAGUAGAACCGGAG
rfam:Human immunodeficiency virus type 1 complete proviral genome